ACUGAUGGCGACCGGCGCACGGGUGAGUAACACGUAUCCAACCUGCCGAUAACUCCGGGAUAGCCUUUCGAAAGAAAGAUUAAUACCCGAUGGCAUAGUUCUUCCGCAUGGUAGAACUAUUAAAGAAUUUCGGUCAUCGAUGGGGAUGCGUUCCAUUAGGUUGUUGGCGGGGUAACGGCCCACCAAGCCUUCGAUGGAUAGGGGUUCUGAGAGGAAGGUCCCCCACAUUGGAACUGAGACACGGUCCAA
rnacentral:rRNA from 1 species